GGUCCUCCUGUCUCCUCUGUACAGUACUGACUGGGUCCUCCUGUCUCCUCUGUACAGUACUGACUGGGUCCUCCUGUCUCCUCUGUACAGUACUGACUGGGUCCAUCUGUCUCCUCUGUACAGUACUGACUGGGUUCUCUUUUGUCUCCUCAGUCAUGCUGUCUUGGAGCAGGUGUCACUGUGUUCUGCUGUUACAGCUGCUGACAGUCAUAGCUGGCUCUUUUCCUUCAGUAAAGGUGAAUCUUCAUGAUGCUGCUACUCUCCACUGCACUCAGACGUGUUCUGGUCUGGUCACAUGGACUUUAUAUCAUAAACCACAUGACAUUCUGGCUCAGUGUAACCAGACAUCCUGCCAGUCAAAGGAGGGAUUUCACAUGUCCCAUGAUCAGUACCUGAAGGGAGAUCUCUCCCUCACCAUCACUGAUGCUGAUUACACUAAGAGGACCUGGUACACCUGCGCCUGUAAUGGUAAAGACAUCUGUGAUGUGAGUCUGCAGAUAGAGGCCUGUAAUUCUUCAGUUCAGAUUAAGCCUGGUGAACCUCUGGUGCUGGAUUUGCUCAUAUCAGAGUCAGUUGAGGUGAUUUAUAACAGCACAGGUGCAGCUGCUCCCUCUAGUGGACAGAUCUGCACAGUGGCUGGACACUCACUGAAGUGUAAACCUGAAUACACUCGGAGAGUGUCGCUCAUCUCUGCUGUGGAGCUGAGAGGAACCGCACCAUCUGAUAGUGGAGUUUACAGCAUCAGAGACACUAAGAAUGAAGAGAUUAUUCAGACAUACACAGUUACUGUGGAAGGAACUGGAGCUGAACUGCCCCUGUCCCACAAUCCCUCUCGAUCCCGUCACAGUGUUCACUCUGAAGUCCAGCCGUGUCCAGAUCAGAGCUCCACAGUGACGGUGUUGACGGUGCUCCUGGCUCUGACGGGGGCGGGGCUUGUGGCAGCAGUGCUGGUGAUUGUGCAGCUGAGGAAAAAAAUCAGCAGUGAAUGAAGACUGUAACCAUGACAGCAGAGGAGUUAAUAUGAAUGGACUAAACCACUCAGAUGAAGAGCAGAGGUGAUCUCCCAGUAAUAACCAUGAGGAAGUCUAAAAGAGAUGAUGAAUUAUUUGGCUCUCUUGUACACACAAACGUAUGUACCCACACUGCCUUUCUCUGUACCAUUCUGGGGUCAGAGAUCAGUGUAUGUUUGAUCAUACCUGAUCAGUUUUAUGAUGUUAGCAUUCUUGAACUCACCUGGUAGAGCAGGUACAGUAAGAUACAUCUCCAGAAUCAUGGUUUGAUCCUCAGAGAGGACACAUGAUGUCAUACUGAUAAAUAUGCAUCAGUCACUAUAAGAGCACCUGCCCAGUACUGUAAAUGUAAUGGAAAGAUGUUUAUGUAAAAAUUUAAUAUAAAGAUGUUUAUGUAAAUAUUAUUAUGUGAUCCUGUGAUGUAAUUUAAUGCACAUGUAAAUAUUUUUGUGUCAAGUCAUGGAAAAACAGGUAUUUAUUUCUGUAGCAUCUUUUAAAUUUUAUUUGCCUUUUAUUUAAGAGUCUCCCCUUAUUGUCCAGGUUAUAUUUUCAAGAGUUCACUUGUGGUCUUGGUGAUUAUGGUCAGUUGUUGUGGUUGGUUUUUCCAAUGCUGUAAUGCUGCAUUAAUUUCAAAGCAUUCUGCUCAAUAAGUAGCUAAGGUUUGCCUGCCCAGGUAAAGCAAUCUCCAAUAUUAAGUAAACCAGACAUGUAUUAUGGAAACAGACCUGCUUCAUGUCAUUUCUUUUUGAGAAAGGUUGACAGACCCUGUGAUGUUUACUGUUUUUAUCAGCUGGCUAUUAUUAAAUGCAGUUGCUAGUUAACAGUGUCUGUGGAGUAAUCUGUCUAAGGGCAAGAUCAAUUCACUAGAGUUAGAUCGGAGAUGCAUAUGGAUAACAAGAUGAAUCAACAGGCAUUAAGUAACUAGAAAGUAAAGAUUGUAAACAAACAGUGAGUUGUAUUAGAAUCAGUAGAGUUCUCAUGAAGUGCAGAUAUGUGCUUAACUACGUUUAUUUUAUGAGUGUAAUAAGCUGAACAUUUGACAAAUUUUAUGAUUGUACCAUAAACCUUUAAGGAUCAGUAUCAAAAUAAAUGUUUCCAAAGGGAGGAUGAAGGCAUUAAUGAAAGGAGAGGAGAGAAGGAGUACAGAGACUGGUGCUGCUGGUAUAAUAUGUAGUUUGGAUGUCACGGAAUGCUCGCCUCCCGCGAGUCACGUGGUUUGGCCCGCCACGUGCAGUGGGAGGAUCCUCAUUUGUGGCCACACCUGCACCUCAUUUGUUUAUAUGUAUUUAAACCCCCCGUCAUAGUGUGCAAGAUCGUUGGUCAUUGUGGAUGUAACGUCUUAAUGUCAUGGUUAAUGGUCUUGUCAUCGGUAAACGUAUGCGUGUUUAUUGUGCUUGUUUCAUGUUAACCGUUACAGGUUCAUGUUUUUCGUGUGUAAUAUUUGAGUGCCGUUAUCGUUCUGUGUAACUAAAUGUACGUCCCAGUCACUGGAGUCUGUGUGUCCUGUAGCACUCGGGCCACCACGCGUUACAUUGGAGCUUGAGGUCCACUGUUGAGUGUCUUUGCCAAGCCUGGUGGCUGUAGCCUUCAAAUUCAGGGAGAUAAAAUGUCAUCAGUACAAAAUGCAAUUUGCUGGCAGGAGUUGCUUAAUGUUUAUCUUAAAAUUUCUAAUUUUUUAAUUUUUCAUCUGUCAGCACUACUUUGAGCCAAUGAUGUUUUAAACUUUGCUCAUGAAUAUUAAUGAGGUGUUUUGCUCUGUGCCUCUGCAAAUCCAACUGCUUCUCUUGCAGUGCCUUAUGGGUAAAAACCUGCCAUGUGUUUUUUUUUUUGUUGUUGUUUUUUUUUUUAAAUCUCAGACAUAUAAGAUGUAAUGCGUUUAUUUUGAAAUACAAAAAGAAAUCAUGUUUUAUGGAACUUUUUGUUUAAAUGUAUUACUGUAUUUUGAUGCCUAAUGCAUUGUUACCAAAAUACAAUAUUUUAAAUGCAUCUAUACUCUGUUUAUCCUGAAACUGUC
ensembl:lncRNA